rnacentral:rRNA from 1 species
UGGUAUGCACUGGCUCGCUGACUCCCUCCUUUCUUGUAGAACCGUAAUGCCAUUAAUUUGGGUGUUGCGGGGAAACAGGACUGUUACUUUGAAAAAAUUAGAGUGUUUAAAGCAGGCCAACGCCUGAAUACAUUAGCAUGGAAUAAUGAAAUAGGACGUUCGAACCUAUUUUGUUGGUUUCUAGGAUUGACGUAAUGAUUAAUAGGGAUAGUUGGGGGCAUUAGUAUUCAAUUGUCAGAGGUGAAAUUCUUGGAUUUAUUGAAGACUGACUACUGCGAAAGCAUUUGCCAAGGAUGUUUUCAUUAAUCAAGAACGAAAGUUAGGGGAUCGAAGACGAUCAGAUACCGUCGUAGUCUUAACCAUAAACUAUGCCGACUAGGGAUCGGAUGAUGUUAAUUUUUUAAUGACUC